AGCCUCCCUGGAGUUCCCACCAUUACGUGCUGGCAAACAAGGAUAAGGGUUGCGCUCGUUGCGGGACUUAACCCAACAUUUCACGACACGAGCUGACGACAGCCAUGCACCACCUGUAUACCGACCACAAGGGGGGCCACAUCUCUGCAGCUUUCCGGUAUAUGUCAAACUCAGGUAAGGUUCUUCGCGUUGCAUCGAAUUAAUCCACAUGYUCCGCCGCUUGCGCGGGCCCCCGUCAAUUCCUUUGAGUUUUAGCCUUGCGGCCGUACUCCCCAGGCGGGGCGCUUAAUGCGUUAGCUACGGCACGGAUUCCGUGGAAGGAACCCACACCUAGCGCCCACCGUUUACGGCGUGGACUACCAGGGUAUCUAAUCCUGUUCGCUACCCACGCUUUCGUUCCUCAGCGUCAGUUACUGCCCAGAGACCCGCCUUCGCCACCGGUGUUCCUCCUGAUAUCUGCGCAUUUCACCGCUACACCAGGAAUUCCAGUCUCCCCUGCAGUACUCAAGUCUGCCCGUAUCGCCUGCAAGCCAGCAGUUGAGCUGCUGGUUUUCACAAACGACGCGACAAACCGCCUACGAACUCUUUACGCCCAGUAAUUCCGGACAACGCUUGCACCCUACGUAUUACCGCGGCUGCUGGCACGAUCUUGCNGAAAAA
rnacentral:rRNA from 1 species